rnacentral:tRNA from 1 species
AGUCUUAUAGUCAAAAAUGAUAUUAAAUUGCAAAUUUAAAGGAAAGUUAAACUUUAAGGCUU